rnacentral:hammerhead_ribozyme from 1 species
AUCCGGCUGACGAGUCCCAAAAAUAGGACUUAACGCGUGUCCUGGAU